GCAAGUGAUACUCUGCACAAGGCCUGGCAUAUUGAAUGGUAGCUAUUAUAUCAGUUAAGAUGCUGUUUUGUCAGGGAAGGAUACUUUUUGUUGCAACUAACAAAAAACCUAACUCAAAUUGGUUUAAACAAGAGUGAUUUAUUAACACAUGUAACUAAAAAUAGAUUUAACAGGCUCAAGCAUGUUUGUAAUCAGAAUUCCAGCUCCAUUUUCUCUGUCAUUUUCUUGACUUUGCCCAUCACCAAAUAUAAACUUCAUGCUAACAAAGGCUGAAAUAUUUCCAGAUCUGUCAUCCAUAAAGCAUCUCUUAAGGCCAUCUCAUCAAUGUCUUACUCUGAUUAGAUGACAUACCCUUUCCUGAAACAAUCACUACGGGCAGGAGAUUAUUUUAAACUGUGGCAAAGGGGGCAUUGAUUACAUUAAUAGACUGUUUCCAGACAGAGUUUUCCAGACACGGGAUCGCUCUCACCUGAACACAAUGGCUGCUGCACAAUCAAUGAGGAGUGAAACAGAAGCUGGUAAGAAAACUAAAAUGUCUACUACCCAGGUGUAAUGAACUAUCAGGAUGUAGCCAACUUACGACUUCUCAAAAUAGUGGCAUUCAUUAAACUUUUGCCUCCCUUCCCCAUGUCUCCCUUUAAGGACAGAUUGAAAAAAGAAUCUCUUCUCAAUUAAUCGGGACAACUAGAGGUUGAUAAGAAAGAGAAACUGUAACUUUGUCUACCAGGAGUUAACACAGGAGAAAACUUUACCAAUAGUGUUAUUGAGAACCAGCGUGAAUAUUCGUUACUACUUGAAAUUUGCCUAGAAAAUCUCACAGAAAUAUAACACAAGGCAGAUAUUAAGUAUUUCUCUCAAACUUAAUAACUGGAUUCUCUGGGCAGUCAAUUCAGUUCUUGUCCUAAGCAGAGUGUAUUAGGUCCCGUAACAGUUGGUUCCUCUUUUAAGUCUACGGGAAAUAGAACAUAGGUGAAGAAAGUUGGAAUCGGGCACAAUCUCUACAUUGAUUAUGCAGUAAAUAUUCUCAUUGUGUGCCUCAUAUAGUAGUUAUGCUGUAUUCUCCUACUGUUUUCUUAUUUUACCCAAUUUUAAUGAGUCCUCUCAAAAGUCCUUGAGGCUUUAGUGUAAGAUUGAGGAAAGGUUUUCAGUAAAUCUUCCCUGAAUGUCAUCAGUCGUCUUGUUAUUCUAUCUUUCAUGAACUCUGCAAGCUGUGAAGACUCAUGAAUAUUUUAGAACAUUUUCCAUUCCUGUCUAUUCUCAGGCAUUGUUUAUUCUUCUUCCUUCAUGUUUGCUCUACAUAAAUACUAAUUUUCUGUUUUCCCAUUCUAGCUGAGUGUUUCUCAGCUCAGCUGCAUGUUAGACUCACCUGGGGAAUUUUAAUGGAAGGUGGGGGGAGGGGAAAAGGGGAAAGGGACAAGACCAAAAACCAGUGAAUUUAGGAUGAACUAUGUGUGACAAAUAGUGCUGUCGAGUCCUCCUACUUGAGAACUGGUUAUCGUUUAUCUUGAAAACAUCUAUGUACUGGGUUGUGUCUGCUCAGCUGUAAGGGGGUAAGAUUUCUGUCUGUCUUCGCAGUCUCUUCAGCAGAUUGCCUGUGAUGCACAUCUCUUCUUGGUUAAUGCUUACUCAAUAAUGAAAUUGUUUUCUUUCUCUUCUAUUUUUGCGGAGAGAUUUUCUGGGCUGUUCCUACCCUCUUCUUCACUGUCCCUUCCUUCAUCUUGCUACCAGAACGUGGAUAAUGCCAGCUUGGAUUGUGAAGAGAGGCCACACACAGCUGAGUAAAAAGACAGAAGAAACUUGGACCCUGACACAUGGAACCACAGACCAUCUACAAAAAUUUCAUGUGAGAUGAAUAGACUCCUAACUAAUUUAAGCUAUUGUUUAGUUGGAGUUUCUGUCAAUUGUUGCUGAACCUAGUCGUAACGAAAAUGGGAAGAUAAACUGAGGCAAUAGUGUUUGGAAAGGUCCUGAGGCAGUGUUUCCAGAAUCAAAAGACUAAUUCGGCUGAAAAUUAGCAAGCAAGGGAAGAAAUACUAAAGGAUGACUAUACAUGGGGACUAUACACUGAUGAUAUACACUGGGGAUAUAAACCGAGUCCAGACCAGCCUGGUAAUAGUAAAGCAAUGGGAAGUCCCUGAAGGAUCAGGAAAGGGAUAGAAUUCAAUGUACUUUCUAAAAAUUUGUUCUGGUUAUCCUAUGGGAAAUGGAGAGAAAGCAGGCAAGAGGGUUUACAGGAAAGCCAUUAGGAAACUGCGAUAGUAAAUCAAAGAGAGAAAUGACUGGGCCCAGAUUAAGGUGGUGACAGAGGAUAUAAAGGGGAAUGAAUGGAUUAUAGAUGAGCAAGUUUCUCUCAGAGCCUCAAUUUUCUCUUCUGGAAGAUUGGGAUAUUAAUACACUCUUCCUCAUAACACUUCUGUUAGGAUUAAAUGAGAUGAUAAUGAAUGUAAAGUGAUUAGAAGCAUCCUUGGCACAGAGAAAGAGCUUAAUGAGGGUUAUCUCUUGUCAUUAUUAUUCUAAUGAUCAUCUUGGAAGUAGAAACAACAGGACUUGCUGAUAGCAUUUUUAAAAUAUUAUGAUCUACUAUGUGCUGGGCACAGUUAUCAGACAUUGUGCCAACCUGAUCAGUUAGCUAGGGUCUAGUGGAGAAAGGCCCAUUAGUUUUGCUCCAUGUCCAUUGUUUCAUAGUACCUAUUCAGCUUUUUGUUGACAUGUUUAUUUUUCUCAGCUAUAGCAAGUAUGAAAUUUAUUCCUCAGCUCUCAGAGACAAAGAGAUACUUAUUUUUCUAAAUCUAAUUAAAUCUGUUCUGAAUCUGCACACUCUUGACCAGCAAGAAAUUCAAUCUCAUUAUAGUUUGAAGGCCAUUCUCUAUGGUUAUGUAAGAGCUCCAGGGUCUUAUUUAUUCCAAAACAUUCAACAAGGACCUUUCAUCAGUCCACACACUUGCAAAGCCCCAGGGUCACUAUGAAGCAGGGAACAUUGCUGUUUCAUUGGGUGUCUCGGACACCGUGAUCCUCACCAAGUAGGAGACUCAAGUCCCCGGUAAGCAGCUUUCCAUUCCAUCUGAGGUUCUGCUACCUCCCUGGGGUGCUGUAUGGAAAGAUUGCUGAAUCCCACAAGUAAGUGUCCCAUAGAAUGUGAGAACCUUUUUUAGCUGCUCAGGGGAAACUAUCUAUUGACAACACUUCCUAGCCCCACAAUCUAUUUCCUGCCCUUCUCCCUCCUCCUGGUCCAAACAGGUUACUAUUCUGCUUUACUCACAUUUAGCUGGUGUGACAAAAGAACCACUAAUUCCUAAGUGUCUAGAAACUCAGGACACUGAAGGCAAGAAGUAGGGGCUUCUUGGCCAUUUGCCAUGUGACAAAUGGCUUCAUCUAUGAACUUAUGGCCUUGGUAAACUGAGAGAGCUUGUUCUAGCAAGGCCGAGGUCAUUUUACUCCAGGAAGUCAUUUAUGUAAAGUCACCAAAGAGAGGAGGAAAGCAUCUGAGGCAGUCUCCAGUCUUUAUGUCUCGCGUUGUAUCCAGAGAGCAUCUCCCCACUUGCUCCUUUGUCAGAUAUAUUAUCAAACAAAUGAAGCCCACCUAUCGAUGUCCCAGGAUAAGAAAAAGCAAAGUUGUAACAGAAGUCAUUCCCGAUGAUGUGGAUACAAAAGAUGAAGACUGGUAGCUUCU
ensembl:lncRNA